UACGGAGGGGGCUAGCGUUGUUCGGAAUUACUGGGCGUAAAGCGCACGUAGGCGGCUUUGUAAGUUAGAGGUGAAAGCCCGGAGCUUAACUCCGGAACUGCCUUUAAGACUGCAUCGCUCGAAUCAUGGAGAGGUCAGUGGAAUUCCGAGUGUAGAGGUGAAAUUCGUAGAUAUUCGGAAGAACACCAGUGGCGAAGGCGACUGACUGGACAUGUAUUGACGCUGAGGUGGCGAAAGCGUGGGGAGCAAACAGG
rnacentral:rRNA from 1 species